AUUGAACGCUGGCGGCAUGCUUUACACAUGCAAGUCGAACGCAUCCUUCGGGGUGAGUGGCGCACGGGUGAGUAACACGUGGGAAUGUACCCUUUGGUUCGGAAUAACGUUUGGAAACGAACGCUAAUACCGGAUGAGCCCUGCGGGGGAAAGAUUUAUCGCCAAAGGAGCAGCCCGCGUCUGAUUAGCUAGUUGGUGGGGUAAAGGCCUACCAAGGCGACGAUCAGUAGCUGGUCUGAGAGGAUGAUCAGCCACACUGGGACUGAGACACGGCCCAGACUCCUACGGGAGGCAGCAGUGGGGAAUAUUGGACAAUGGGCGCAAGCCUGAUCCAGCCAUGCCGCGUGAGUGAUGAAGGCCUUCGGGUUGUAAAGCUCUUUCGCACGCGACGAUGAUGACGGUAGCGUGAGAAGAAGCCCCGGCUAACUUCGUGCCAGCCGCCGCCGUAACAC
rnacentral:rRNA from 1 species